rnacentral:rRNA from 1 species
ACGGCGAGUGAAGAGGAAAGAGCUCAAAGUUGGAACCUGUUUGGCUUAGCUAAACCGGAUUGUAAACUGUAGAAGUGUUUUCCAGACACGCCUGGUAAAAAAGUCCUUUGGAACAGGGCAUCAUAGAGGGUGAGAAUCCCGUCAUUGGCCAGAGCUGUUGUCUUUUGUGAUACAUUUUCAAAGAGUCAGGUUGUUUGGGAAUGCAGCCUAAAUUGGGUGGUAAAUCUCACCUAAAGCUAAAUAUUUGCGAGAGACCGAUAGCGAACAAGUACCGUGAGGGAAAGAUGAAAAGAACUUUGAAAAGAGAGUUAAACAGUAUGUGAAAUUGUUAAAAGGGAACCGUUUGGAGCCAGACUGGCUUGAUCGUAAUCACUCUAGGCUUUGGCCUGGAUGCACUUGCGGUCUAUGCCGGCCAACGACAGUUUUGUUUGAGGGAAAAAAUUACAUUGAAUGUGGCCCCUCGGGGUGUUAUAGCUUUGUAAAAAAUACCUUGGACGGGACUGAGGAACGCAGUGAAUGCCUUUAGGCGAGAUUGCUGGGUGCUUGCGCUGAUACAUGCUUGAAUUUCUGCUUCGGGUGGUGCUAGUGUGUAAAGGAGUAACCCGCUUAUUAUAUUUUUUAUUCACUUAGGUUGUUGGCUUAAUGACUCUAAAUGACCCGUCUUGAAACACGGACC